CGGGGUGUAGCGCAGGUGGUAGCGCGCAUCGUUCGGGACGAUGAGGCCGCAGGUUCAAGUCCUGCCACCCCGACCA
rnacentral:tRNA from 1 species